UAACCAUGUUGUGGACAGUGACGUAAUAAGUCUUUGAAUCGCUCCCAUGCUUCAUAAAGUUGCUCUAAUUCUAGCUAUCUGAAAUGUCCAAUCUCACUCCUUAACUG